rnacentral:lncRNA from 1 species
CUGAGAUGAUGGAUGGACUGGGCAUGCCGAGAUAAGAUUUCAAAUUGGUCUGUCAUGUAGCAUGCAUGUAGAGAUGAGUUUGGAUUGGUCUGCCGUGUAGUACGCUUCUGUCUAUAACACGAGCUGCUCAGUAUAUGUAGGUAAUCCUUUCUAAAGUUGAUUUUUUUUAAAGAUGUCACGAAGAACUGCAGAUGUGUUGCUAAGGCUCUCCACUUUCUGGAGGACGGAGUUUUCAAAUCAGUGGAAUGUCCAUUGGAAGCAGAGUAUGAUAGCUAAGGAGAUGGAGAAAAUUCUGGCGUUAUAUAAAAUAUCGGUCUCCGGAUUAGCUACAACUAAGGAAAACCAUGGCAUCCGUGACAGAGAGGGAGAAGCGUUCAUCCAUGUAUACGGCUGACAACGUGACCAAGAAGGAUGUCCAGUGACCUUAUAUAGAUGGGUUAGCUGACAACGUGACCAGGAAGGAUGUCCAGUGACCUUAUAUAGAUGGGUUAGCUGACAACGUGACCAAGAAGGAUGACCUGUGACCUUAUAUAGACGGGUUAGCUGACAACGUGACCAGGAAGGAUGACCUGUGACCUUAUAUAGACGGGUUAGCUGACAACGUGACCAAGAAGGAUGACCUGUGACCUUAUAUAGACGGGUUAGCUGACAACGUGACCAGGAAGGAUGUCCUGUGACCUUAUAUAGACGGGUUAGCUGACAACGUGACCAGGAAGGAUGUCCAGUGACCUUAUAUAGAUGGGUUAGCUGACAACGUGACCAAGAAGGAUGACCUGUGACCUUAUAUAGACGGGUUAGCUGACAACGUGACCAGGAAGGAUGUCCUGUGACCUUAUAUAGACGGGUUAGCUGACAACGUGACCAGGAAGGAUGUCCUGUGACCUUAUAUAGACGGGUUAGCUGACAACGUGACCAAGAAGGAUGACCUGUGACCUUAUAUAGACGGGUUAGCUGACAACGUGACCAGGAAGGAUGUCCUGUGACCUUAUAUAGACGGGUUAGCUGACAACGUGACCAGGAAGGAUGUCCUGUGACCUUAUAUAGACGGGUUAGCUGACAACGUGACCAGGAAGGAUGUCCUGUGACCUUAUAUAGACGGGUUAGCUGACAACGUGACCAAGAAGGAUGUGUGCAGAAGUCAUUGGGCAGAAGUCAUCGUGUUAUGAUUCUGGAAGGUCAGAUAGCAGCGUUGACAAGAAACUGCCCUGUCGGGAAUCCACUCCAUAUGACUGAUGUAGACUGCUCUCUUCAGGAUCCCGUCUUGGCAUGUUGGUAAAGGCUGCUUUGCUGCUAAUAGAUGCAGGUCCGGUGUCUACCUCACGUCAGUCAUUUAAUGGCUAACUUAAUGACAGUCUGAUGGGGGACGAGGACGUGGGGGCUACAAACACACCAAACAGAAAACCUUGCUGGUGUCCGUAGCAACUGGCGGAAGCUUGAGGCCGAAUAAUGGUGAUGACUAGCACAGGGAGGAUGUCGCGGUCUGAAAGGACCUGAGCACUAGGACCAUGCCUCAGGACUACCUGGCCUGAUGACUCCUUGCUGUCCCCAGUCCACCUGGUCAUGCUGCUGCUGCAGUUUCAACUGUUCUGCCUGCGGCUAUGGAACCCUGACCUGUUCACCGGACGUGCUACCUGUCCCAGACCUGCUGUUUUCAACUCUCUAGAGACAGCAGGAGAGGUAGAGAUACUCUCAAUGAUCAGCUAUGAAACGUCAACUGACAUUUACUCCUGAGGUGCUGACUUGUUGCACCCUCUACAACCACUGUGAUUAUUAUUAUUUGACCCUGCUGGUCAUCUAUAAACAUUUGAACAUUUUGGCCAUGUUCUGUUAUAAUCUCCACCCGGCACAGCCAGAAGAGGACUGGGCACCCCUCAUAGCCUGGUUCCUCUCCAGGUUUCUUCCUAGGUUCCUGCCUUUCUAGGGAGUUUGUCCUAGCCACCGUGCUUCUACACCUGCAUUGCUUGCUGUUUGGGGUUUUAGGCUGGGUUUCUGUACAGCACUUUGUGACAUCAGCUGAUGUAAGAAGGGCUUCGUAAGUACAUUUGAUUGAUUGAUGAAGAGGAAGGAAAGAGGGAUGAAGAGAGAUGAAGAGGGAGG